AGAAGACUUUAUGCCUGCUUGUAGAGGCAAUUACACUGCUCGGGAAAGAGUCAGUACAUUCCAUUUCCCUCGUGAUGAAGAUGCAUGGAGAGAAUGGAUAAGAGCAGUUCACCGUGAUAAUUUCAUCCCUUCAGAUCACUCUGUGAUUUGUGAGCUGCAUUUCCAUGCACACGAAAUAGAAAGAAGUACAUCGUCAUAUGAUGCUAAGACUGGAAGAUUAAUUACACGCCUCUUGAUCGUCCACGUUUAAGGAAAGGUGCAAUACCAGCACUAUUGCCAGAAUGUCCUGAUUAUUUAACUACACCACAAGAAGGAAAAUAUCAUUCUUUUCGUUGAAGACAUUCAGUUUUGGGUAACAGCAAAACAGAGCAAUGUGCUACAAUGCAGUUUUAGUAUAUGCUAAUUACAAGACAGUGUAACAGUUUCAGAUGCUUCUACUAUUUUAUCGAUUUUUGUGUGUUUGAUGUGUUACUGUUUCAUAAUCAUUUAGAUAUUAUAUCAUCUAGAAUGAAAGAUUACUGUUCCUAACAUAACAAUUAUUUUGUAAAUUGGAAUCUUGCCACAAAUGAGCAGAGAGUUGUGGUAUCAAUCUGCGUGAUACCCUUUCUAAUGUUUCCUCGUACACAUCAACACUUUCAAAUAUUAUUGUGUGUCACCAGGCUAUUCACGAAAUGGAGAACUGGUAAUGAGAAUAAAUAUAAAGGUAAAAAAUAAGGUUUCCUGAGCAUAAGCGAAUACAGAAGAUACAUAGUAAACUGUACUGCCUACAUAGUUACCUGGUAAUCAGCAUCUUACUGCCACAUGUAUUCUGUGAAUAA